GACGAACGCUGGCGGCGUGCCUAAUACAUGCAAGUAGAACGCUGAAGAGAGGAGCUUGCUCUUCUUGGAUGAGUUGCGAACGGGUGAGUAACGCGUAGGUAACCUGCCUGGUAGCGGGGGAUAACUAUUGGAAACGAUAGCUAAUACCGCAUAAAAUGGAUUAUCGCAUGAUAAUCCAUUGAAAGGUGCAAAUGCAUCACUACCAGAUGGACCUGCGUUGUAUUAGCUAGUUGGUGGGGUAACGGCUCACCAAGGCGACGAUACAUAGCCGACCUGAGAGGGUGAUCGGCCACACUGGGACUGAGACACGGCCCAGACUCCUACGGGAGGCAGCAGUAGGGAAUCUUCGGCAAUGGACGGAAGUCUGACCGAGCAACGCCGCGUGAGUGAAGAAGGUUUUCGGAUCGUAAAGCUCUGUUGUAAGAGAAGAACGAGUGUGAGAGUGGAAAGUUCACACUGUGACGGUAUCUUACCAGAAAGGGACGGCUAACUACGUGCCAGCAGCCGCGGUAAUACGUAGGUCCCGAGCGUUGUCCGGAUUUAUUGGGCGUAAAGCGAGCGCAGGCGGUUAGAUAAGUCUGAAGUUAAAGGCUGUGGCUUAACCAUAGUACGCUUUGGAAACUGUUUAACUUGAGUGCAAGAGGGGAGAGUGGAAUUCCAUGUGUAGCGGUGAAAUGCGUAGAUAUAUGGAGGAACACCGGUGGCGAAAGCGGCUCUCUGGCUUGUAACUGACGCUGAGGCUCGAAAGCGUGGGUAGCAAACAGG
rnacentral:rRNA from 1 species